GACGAACGCUGGCGGCGUGCUUAACACAUGCAAGUCGAACGGAAAGGCCCUGCUUUUGUGGGGUGCUCGAGUGGCGAACGGGUGAGUAACACGUGAGUAACCUGCCCUUGACUUUGGGAUAACUUCAGGAAACUGGGGCUAAUACCGGAUAGGAGCUCCUGCUGCAUGGUGGGGGUUGGAAAGUUUCGGCGGGUGGGGAUGGACUCGCGGCUUAUCAGCUUGUUGGUGGGGUAGUGGCUUACCAAGGCUUUGACGGGUAGCCGGCCUGAGAGGGUGACCGGCCACAUUGGGACUGAGAUACGGCCCAGACUCCUACGGGAGGCAGGAGUGGGGAAUAUUGCACAAUGGGCGGAAGCCUGAUGCAGCAACGCCGCGUGCGGGAUGACGGCCUUCGGGUUGUAAACCGCUUUCGCCUGUGACGAAGCGUGAGUGACGGUAAUGGGUAAAGAAGCACCGGCUAACUACGUG
rnacentral:rRNA from 1 species